AGAGUUUGAUCCUGGCUCAGGAUGAACGCUAGCGGCAGGCCUAAUACACGCAAGUCGAGGGAUACUAUUGGAUUCGUCUGAUGGGAAACCGGCGCACGGGUGCGUAGCACGUAUGCAACCUACCUAUAACUGGGGUAUAGCUCAGAGAAAUCUGAAUUAAUCCCCCAUAAGAUUAUGUUCUGGCAUCAGGAAGUAAUUAAAGCUGAGGCGGUUAUAGAUGGGCAUGCGUUGCAUUAGCUAGUUGGUGAGGUAAUGGCUCACCAAGGCUACGAUGCAUAGGGGGUCUGAGAGGAUGAUCCCCCACACUGGUACUGAGACACGGACCAGACUCCUACGGGAGGCAGCAGUAGGGAAUAUUGGUCAAUGGACGCAAGUCUGAACCAGCCAUGCCGCGUGCAGGAAGACGGCCCUAUGGGUUGUAAACUGCUUUUAUAUGGGAAGAAACCCCCUGAUGCGUUAGGGGCUGACGGUACCAUAUGAAUAAGGAUCGGCUAACUUCGUGCCAGCAGCCGCGGUAAGACGAAGGAUCCAAGCGUUGUCCGGAUUUACUGGGUUUAAAGGGUGCGUAGGCGGGAAAUUAAGUCAGUGGUGAAAGCCCUC
rnacentral:rRNA from 1 species